UACGGAGGAUGCAAGCGUUAUCCGGAUUUAUUGGGCGUAAAGCGUCCGCAGGUGGCUAUUCAAGUCUGCUGUCAAAGCUCGGAGCUUAACUCCGAAUCGGCGGUGGAAACUGAACAGCUAGAGUGCAGUAGGGGUAGAGGGAAUUCCCAGUGUAGCGGUGAAAUGCGUAGAGAUUGGGAAGAACACCGGUGGCGAAAGCGAUCUACUGGACUGCAACCGACACUCAGGGACGAAAGCUAGGGGAGCGAAUGGG
rnacentral:rRNA from 1 species